UACGUAGGGUGCAAGCGUUGUCUGGAAUUAUUGGGCGUAAAGAGCUCGUAGGCGGUUUGUCGCGUCUGCUGUGAAAACUCGGGGCUCAACCCCCGAGCCUGCAGUCGAUACGGGCAGACUAGAGUGCUGUAGGGGAGACUGGAAUUCCUGGUGUAGCGGUGAAAUGCGCAGAUAUCAGGAGGAACACCGGUGGCGAAGGCGGGUCUCUGGGCAGUAACUGACGCUGAGGAGCGAAAGCGUGGGGAGCGAACAGG
rnacentral:rRNA from 1 species